rnacentral:rRNA from 1 species
GUGGGGAAUUUUGGACAAUGGGCGCAAGCCUGAUCCAGCCAUGCCGCGUGCAGGAUGAAGGCCUUCGGGUUGUAAACUGCUUUUGUACGGAACGAAAAAGCUCUCUCUAAUACAGGGGGUGAAUGACGGUACCGUAAGAAUAAGCACCGGCUAACUACGUGCCAGCAGCCGCGGUAAUACGUAGGGUGCAAGCGUUAAUCGGAAUUACUGGGCGUAAAGCGUGCGCAGGCGGUUAUGUAAGACAGAGGUGAAAUCCCCGGGCUCAACCUGGGAACUGCCUUUGUGACUGCAUAGCUGGAGUGCGGCAGAGGGGGAUGGAAUUCCGCGUGUAGCAGUGAAAUGCGUAGAUAUGCGGAGGAACACCGAUGGCGAAGGCAAUCCCCUGGGCCUGCACUGACGCUCAUGCACGAAAGCGUGGGGAGCAAACAGGAUUAGAAACCCCUGUAGUCC